CUGGGCGACAGAGCGAGACUCUGUCUCAAAAAAAAAAAAAAAGAAAAGAAAUGGUCCUUAAUCAGUAACAAUAUGUCAUUACAAGCAAAAAACCAUUUCCAUAUGAUAUUUACUCAAUCGAACACUUGGCAAUCAGUUCAUUUCUGGGCACAUUCCAGAUUCCCUAAAUUUGCAAAAAAUAGCAAACGAUUCAGCUAUAAAUUUGUUUGGGAUAAAGACAUCUCUGCACAUUAUAGUAAAAAUAAAUUACAUCACCUGCUCCAACUAGUCAUUUUACAUAAACAGCUUAAUAAAUCACUCAUUUCUACUUCUUUCAACUACAAAAGUCUGAGGACUACCAUAUAAUCACGAAGAACAAAACAACUUUUUUCUUUUAGAGAAGCUUGUUUAUAAAUCAAAAUUAAAACCUACUUAAAAGUAGUUCCACAGAAACAUGUAAAAAAUCCUCACAUGUAAAAUAAAAACAAUCAAAACAAUACCAGUAUCACACAUUUAACUAUACAUUCACUUUAAUAGUAAAAUUUCCACUCCAUCUAUUUAAGAGCAUGUUUUUCAGGUCCUUUUGAAAAAUAUUCCACAGAGAAACAGAUUUGUUUUUAAAAGACUGUACACCUUACUACAUUGAUUUUAACAAUACAGCAAAUAAAUUUAACUUAGAACAAAUGCCAACAGAGAUAUUAAAUUAUACAUACUGUGCUUAGUUGUCCCCACAGGAAUAUAAAAAUGUUCAUAAACUUAAGAUAAAUUUAUAUUUCCCCUAGUUUGUGAAAAUUGCAAUAACCUUUCUAUUUAGAGUAACCGAUUAAACUACAUUUGGCAACUGAAAUUCAAACAAAAUUCUCAGAUGAAACAGCUGGGAGAAAAUAAACGGAACAGUUUUUACAAAUGAACUUUGUAUUGACGCUAUAGGUAAGAUGAUCCAACACCUAACAGUAGCAUGAGUGGAAUCAGGAAAACACAAACAUGUAAUAGUGAAAGAAAACCCUUUAGGGAGAAAAAGAAAUUGCAAUUUAUAGGGUCACCCAUGACUAAAACUCUGAACUCAGCCUUUCUUUUUUAGGGGUGUCCGGAGAGGGAGACAGGGUCUUGCUUUGUCAUCCCAGACUGGAGUGUAGUGGCGUGAUCUCGGCUCACUGCAGCCUCAACCUCCUGGGCUCAAGCGAUCCUCCCACCUUAGCCCCACAAGUAGCUGGGACUACAGGCGUGUGCCACCACAUCCAGCUAACUGUUUUGUUAUUUUUGUAGAGACAGGGUUUCACCAGGCUGGUCUUGAAUUCCUGAGCUCAGGCAAUCUGCCCAUCUCGGCCUCCCAAAGUGCUGGGAUUACAAGCAUGAGCCACCACGCCUGGCCUGAACUCAGCCUUUCUUAUUUUUAAGAACUGUUGCCUACAGUUCUGCAGAUCACAAAAUCUAAACUUUUUAAAAAUCCCAUGUAGUGGACAUACAUAUACAUAUUAUUAGAUAAUAUUUUAUGCUUAAGAAAUCUAGUAAAUUGGCUGGGCACGGGCUAACACCUGUAAUCCCAGCACUUUGGGGGGCCCAGGAGGGCGGAUCACCUGAGGUCAGGAGUUUGAGACCAGCCUGGCCAACAUGGUGAAAUCCCGUCUCUACUGAAAAUACAAAAAUUAGACAGGCGUGGUGGUGGGUGCCUGUAAUCUCAGCUACUUGGGAGGCUGAGGCAGGAGAAUUGCUUGAACCCGGGAGGCGGAGGUUGCAUUGAGCCAAAAUCGCGCCACUGCACUCCAGCCUGGGUGACAGAGUGAGACUCUGUCUAAAAAAAAAAAAAAAAAAAUUCUAGUUAAUAUUAUUUUGAAACCCCAGUUUACAUAAAGUAUGGUGCACUAAUGACUGCAUUUUAUUGAAAAGAACAUUGGGAAUAGAAAAAUUAAGUGACAUUUUAAAAGUGACAUUGGCUUAAAUAAUGAAAUUGAGAACAUAAAUCAGUCUUCACUUCCAAUUAUAAUUUCUAAUCAUUACCACUAGCCUCACGUAUCUUGGCACAAAUAUUUGUAAACUGCAGUAGUAUACUCACCUUUUUUACAUGUAUUUUUUAAAAAUUGUAAUUGUGUCCUCAUUAAUCAUAAAUCCAAUGUAAUGUACUUUUUAAUCUAUGUUCUGAAAUUAACAGUCAUUUGAGACAGUCCCUUGGGAUUUUUUAAAAAAUGGAAAACACUUCUUUUAAUAUCAUCUCUUCUUUAAUCUUCAUUUUUACUCAUUUGUUCAAUUGAGGAACUAAGAGCCUGUACUAAAAAAAUCAAUGGCACCAUUCAAGCUGUUCCUUCCAUUUUUAUAAUAUUCAAUUAUGCUAAGAGGUAUGAAACCGUGCCCAGUAUCCCGAAGUUGGGCUUUUGACCCAUAUUCAGUAUUAAAAUAAUUUCUUGCUUUCUAAUGUAUAAAAACAAAACAAAAUACUAUUAAGCAUUCUGAAGAUAUUUUUUACUUCUUGUAUGCCCUGAUGCUUAGCUCUUAUCCUUCAAACCCCUUCUCUAAGAAUAAAAUUUCUCGAAAACUAGGAAAAGGUGAAGGCGUCACUGUUACCCAAGCCAGGCAUGAACAGUAUAAAUCAAAUGAAACUUGAUUAGUUAUCCUUAAUAAAGUUUGCAGCUACUUCCUCCCUUUCCUCCUUAUCCCCACAUGAAGUACGAACUAACCCACAAAUAAGUUCUCCUAUUAACUCACAUUCCUUUUUUUUCUACAUAAGCAAAGCAAAAUGAUUUCUGAAUUAAACUUCCCAAGUACUUCAUUCAUCAUCUCCUGCAAUUCCAAAUAAACGCAAAUGCAUUAACACAAAGGGAAAAAACUCCUUUGAAAGAAUACAUAGUUGUUCUUUUACCAAAAUAGCAUUUUUCACAAGUGACUCAAACAGAAUUACAGCUUAGGAAAAUCAAGCCUUUAAUUCUGAAGAAUAAUUUGCACCUACAGAAAAUUUCAAGGUAACGGUUUUUACUGCUUGUGGACUUUAGACCAAAUCUACUUAUUUUGAUUUUGCUGAAGUUUGGGUAUAACUGCUUGUUGGCCUCUGCUGGGGGACCACUGUCCUAGUGAGAGUGUCUGACAACAAGGUGCUUUUGAUACUCCACUAACUAAACUACCUUGGAUGAGGUUCCUGACAAACCUGAUCAUAAAGUUUUACUCAAUGGUGAAAAGCAUUUUAAUUAGGCUUCAAUGUACUCCUUAAAUCAGGCUUGUCCAACCCAUGGCCCAGGACAGCUUUGAAUGAGGCCCAACACAAAUGUGUAAACUUUCUAAAAAUAUGAAAUUUUUGUUGCAAUUUUUUAAGCUCAUUAGUUAUUGUUAAUGCAUUUGAUGUGUGGCCCAAGACAAUUCUUCUUCUUCCAACGUGGCCCGGGGAGGCCAAAAGAUUGGACACCGCUGCCUUAAAUGAUAUGGGAUAAAUCAGAUGACAAUUUUCCCACUCAGUUAAACCAUUAUAGGUGGCAUAUAAGUGGAACAACACUGAAUUUAACUUUGUCCCCAAAUACUUUUGGUAAAGAGAGAACUCAAAGAACACACUGAUAACCCUUACAUAUGCCAAAAAUCUGUUCCUAAAUUGUUGUAUGCCAACUGAUUAUUCACAAAUCAAAUCACAUUAGAUAAAUACCAUUUAAAGGGAUUAAGUAUUUGAAAACAACUUUUAGUGAAUCCCUUUUUUAAAAUUCUCACAUAAUAUAACCAACUAGUAAUUAAUUUGUUUUGCAAUCUUACACUUUUAAAUGUCAAAUUUCUUAAAGUAGAGCACAGCUGUUUUCAUAAGCUGAAACAUUCACAUCACAUUACUGCCCUUCUUUCUAGUGCCCCUCAAGCAAGCUCUAAAAAUGUCACCCAAAAAAUGAGUUGUUCACCUGUGGUAGAAUAUACAAGAAAUACUAGAAAAAUUGAAAAAUAAGCAAUUCUUAAAAAUGUAAUAUAGAAAUGUGUGUAUAGUAUUUCAAAAAAAGUCAAAGAAUUAUUUUAUUUUUGGCCAUGAUCACAAUAAACGCUCGAUAAAAAUGAUUUUUUAAAAAACCAAGAUACGCACAGCCCAAAUCACUUUCCCAUGUGUUUUUACCACCUGGAGUAAACCGUUCAAGAACUGUUUAUCUCCAUGAACAUAUGACCUCCACGAUGCCACCAAGGUCAACAAGACCUACAGGAGGGGGACAUGCUAAGUGUUGAUUUGUCCAAUUCUACAGUUCCCUUGAAAAAGAGAGAAGAGAGAAAAACAUAAAAAUUUAUUUAUAUAUUACAAGAAAUAAUCUUUUCAGGUUGUAACAAUUAAGUACCCCACUACAGGACUGUAUACAGACAUAUGUCAGCUAUGGCCAAUAGGAGCAAGAUGUAAAAGAGACCUCACAGCACAAAAGUAGCUGCACAGAAAGAAUUAACAAGAUCCCAAACGGACUGAUCUCUCUCUGCAUCUGGUACUGAAAACUUUUGGUAUCCCGGCUACAUGCCACAAGGACUCAAUUUCAAAGUGAGGGUCCUCUGUUGAGGAAACUUUUUGAAAAUGACAAAUAACCAAAGAUACAUAAUCAACAGAAAAAGCACCCACAUAUCAGAAAUGCUUAGGUAAGGAGCAAGUGAGUAUAUGCCGAGACUGCUGGUUAACACCAAAUUCACAGGUUGUUCUCUUAUUCUCUACCAAAAAUUCUCUCUGGCAUUUCCUCAGCUAUCAUCACAAUCCUGCACCUUUCACAAACCAGGAAGUUUUCUUAGAUGAGAUUUAAAUUUUAAAACACAUCCACUUGGGAUAAUGUUUAUGCUAGACUUAAGUUCAAAAAAUCCCUAUCAGCUUGAAACCAUUAUAUCGGUAAUUUCCAGGUAACAUUCAAAUAUAUAUAUUUUUAAAGACAUGCCACAGCUAGUACCUGAUUUAGUGAUUUAGUGGAGAGUUUAACUAUGGAUAAUUCAUUCUAACGUUUGGUAAACAGGUAGCAUACACAUACAUGAUGACAGUGUAAAAUUAAACAGGAAAAAAAUCAGCAAAAGCACUGGUUAUUCACAAUCAGCACAGGACUGUCUCGUAAAUUACUUUCAGAGAAGCUCCAAACUGGUGGGUGGCACCGGGUCAAUGCGAUUACUUAACCCUGGCAGUUACAACUAAACUCCACUUUGAUGGUAUCCAAAGCUUAUUACAAAAAGAUGACUGCUUGGGCAUAUCAAGUACUUCGGUGUCCUCCUAUUUUGUUCCCACGGAACACGGAGCCUGACACCUGAAACUCUUCAGACACACAUCACCUUGCUUCGGGGCUUUAGAAUUUUGUGUAUAUUAUUUGUAAAGUCCACUGGACAUAAAUUCAGUUGUGUGUGUACAGGAUUAAUGUAUUUCCUGCAUGCACAAGUGAAGAACUCAUGUCAAAUCAAGCAGUUCCCUCUCUCCCAAGUAACUUUUUUAUCAUUUAGUCCUAAAAUAACCAUAAGCAACAAACAUUAAACACUGGCAUAGCAACGUGCACACAUCAUGCCCUGGUGCUACACACAGGCGGAUUCGUUCAUCUCUGGUCCCCAUCCAGACGGGUGCUCCCGGCCUCUCUCACUCCCGGCCGGUCCAGCCUGGCUUCACCCGAGUUUUGCUGUGAAAUCCGCCACUUUCGCUGGCCCCGGCAAAAAGCAAGGCGCCUCGUCCCGAGGGCAGAGUUUCUUGCAACUGCCGGAUAAACAUUUCCCGAAAGCUUCCCGCGGCCCCCACGCCCGGUCCCCCCACUUCACGAGCCCCGGGGAGGGGCC
rnacentral:lncRNA from 1 species